rnacentral:lncRNA from 1 species
GCUUUUGUAACAGUACCUCAGAGCUCUUGCUAAGCCAAUAGAUGACAUCUGUACUGAUGAUAUUUCCCAGCUUUCCUUGCAACUCUGGGUGCCAUGAACUAAUUUGGGGCCAACUGGAUCUGAGAAGUGAUGUGUGUAACUUCUGAGUCAUCUUUUUAAAGACAUUUACUUUUUUCCUGCCAACUGGGAAAUGGUAACAACUGGAGCAACCUUGGAGACCAUACCGUGAGAUGGGAGAGCUGCCCUGACAUGAGAGAGAAAUACAAUUCUAUUCUGAAUUAAGUGCUAUGUUUGGUUAGAGUCGCUUGGCUUGUAGCUCAGCUAAUUCACAGAAGGAGCUGUGUGGGUUUGUAGGGAGGCACUUUUCUAGCAAGGGUAAUAGUGUCAGCAGAGACUGUAAAGUAGGAACUUACCAGGAAUGUUAGAGGAACAGCAAAGAGGUCACUGGCGUUGGAGUGGAGCAGUAGGAGAUGAAAUUAGGAAAGUGUCAGAGGAGAGAUCAUGUAGUCCGUGGGCACCUUCCCUGGGGCUUGGGGUUUUAUUCUUGUGAGCUGUGGAUGUACGGCUGGAGCAAAGGAAUGACAUGAUGUGACUCUGGUUUUCAAAAGAUCAUCCUCACUGUUAUGAAUAGAGCACGGAAGCAGGGUGGAAAUGUGGAGAGACUAGUUUAGAGGUUAUCACAGUAUCCCAGCAAGAGAGCACAGUGGCUUGAAGUAGGGUGCCAAUGGUGGUGCACUUACAGCGUUUUUCUCAAGUGUGCUAUUUCCCAUGUACUGAUGAAUUGCAAAUGAGAGAAAGAAGUGCGGGUGAUAAGUAUAGAAGGAAUUGACAUGGGAAUUAGAAGAUCAUAUGAGGAGGUCUGGGAGUGGAGGAGUUAAGUGACUUACGUUUUCUUUGCUCACAAGCUUUGUAUGACCACCUUCUGUUUACGUAAUUGUAAUUAAGCUUAUCUCAGCCUCUAUCAAUCAGACUCUACAGCAUGAACUCUGCCACCUGUCUUUCCUCUAUUUGACCUCUGCUCUGUCUUCCUGUCUUUAGUCUAAGUCUAAUUCAGCCCAUUCAUCCAUUUGGGGAGACGUUCAGUGUCAGCAGAAGAUAGUGAUCUCUGAGUGACAUACCUCAAUUACCUUCUUUCUCAAAAGCACUUAGGGAAAGAGAAAAUGAGAACAGGGAUAAGGACUCAAUGUUGGAGAUAUGCACUGUAAUUGGAGAAGGGAUGGGAGGUUGAAAUGCUGAGGAAAGUCAGGAGGGAGGAGAAAGCCCAAGGCUGGGACUGUGGGGAAAAGUGAAAGUUGUGCAGAGGGAGACGGGGCAGGUAUGAAUGGACCAGAGGUGAGGGGAAAUGAUGACAGUCCAUGCUAGGGACCAGCAAACAGGAGGAAUGACCUUGCUUCUCCUUUUGUAAUGGAGCAGAUAAUACGUGCCCUGUAAAUCACUGGGAUCAAGUAAUCUUGAGGAAGUGGUCCCAAGAGAAUUGUCACACUUUUCAAGAUCUGAUUAUAAAUUAGGUAUGAGCCCAGUUGUUCCUAUAGGAAACACGGCAAUGUUAGCACCAUCCUCUGUCCAAGGGUGUACAAAUGACUUAAUGUGAGAAACCCUUCUUCAUUUCCAGGGGAAAAUUAUCCAUGGCCAUUUCAAGCCAUCUAGGGAAACCCAAACCCAAACUCCAGGGAUGACUUUGUUUUGUCAUUUGAUAAGAGAACGUUCCCAGAAUGGGCAGUCAUUGAAAGUGGAACAGGAUAACCUUAAAGCUGCUUUAGAGACUGGAAAAUAUUCAGCAUUAUGAAGCAAACAUGGAGGGACACAUGUUUUAAAUCAGUGAUUAACAUGUUAAAUACAUGUUUAUGCAAGGGGCGCCUUCUUCUUCUUUUUUUAAAUUUAUUUUUUUGUUAUUCAAUGAAUUUAUUACAUGUACAAUGAACAUCACAUAAUCACCAUUUCCCUUUAUGAUUUGUAGCUAACAAUAAAUUUUUUUUUUUUUUUUUUGUCUUUUUGCCUUUUCUAGGGCCGCUUCCGGCUGCAUAUGGAAGUUCCUAGUCUAGGGGUCCAAUCGGAGCUGUAGCCGCUGGCCUACGCCACAGCCACUGCACCAUGGGAUCCGAGCCGUGUCUGCAACCUACACCACCACUCACAGCAACGCCGGAUCCCCAACCCACUGAGCAAGGCCAGGGAUCAAACCCACAACCCCAUGGUUCCUAGUCGGAUUCGCUAACCACUGCGCCAUGAUGGGAACUCCAAGCUAACAAUAAAAUUUAACAUGAAAAUGAGAAUGACUAGAAUAUUAGCAUUAUUUACAUAUAAGUUUCUGUUUGAGCAAGCAGGCCUCUAGGGUUAUAGGAAAUAUGGUCAAAAUGUAUAUAUUUUAAAAGCAACUCUUGUACUCUGUUGGUAGGGCUGUAAAAUGGUGUGGCCACUCUGAAAAAUAUUGUGACAGUUUCUCAAAAAAUAACAAAAUAAUUACCACAUGAGCCAGUAAUUCCAUUUUGGGGUAUAUACCUAAAGUAAUGGAAAAAUAGGGACCCCAAAUCUGUUUAUACACCCAUGCUCUUAGCAGCACUAUUCAUAAUAGCCAAGUGGUAGAGGCAACCAAGUGUCCAUUGACAGAUAAAUGGAUAAACACAAUGUGGGAUAUACAUACAGUGAGCUUAAAAAGAAAGGAAAUCCUGACACAUGCUAAAACACAGAUGAACAUGGAGGAUAUUAUGCUGCAUGAAAUAAGCCAGUCACUCAAACAUGAAGACCACUUAUAUGAGGUACAUAGAGUAGUUGAAUUCACAGAGACAGAGAGUCGAAGGGUGGUUGCUGGAGUGGGGUGGGGAAAGAAGAGUUUAUUGUUUAAUGAGUACGGAGUUUCAGUUUUGCAAGAUUAGAAAGUUCUAGAGGUGGGUGGUUGCACAACAAUGUGAAUGAGUUUAAUGCCACUGAACCAUACACUUCAAAAUGGUUAAGAUGGAACUUUAUGUCAUGUGUCUUUGACCACAAUGAAAACUAAUUUUCAAAAAUAGAUAAAAACAAACAAAAUACAACAGGAAGAAAUUUUAAAACUUCUGGGCUUCGUAAAAUCAGCAGCCAUUUAUUUUGUCUUCGGUUUGAGGCAUCUCAUUUUGUGUUUUGCUCAGAGAGUAAUUCCCUAAUGUGAUGCUUACACAUUCCCCACUGUCCAAACCGUGAUUGCUCUGC